GAUAGUGGCGAACGGGUGAGUAACGCGUAGACAACCUGCCUCUAAAUUGGGGACAACACCGCGAAAGUGGUGCUAAUACCGAAUGUGGUAUCUUAGUCGCAUGACUAAGAUAAGAAAGGUGGCCUCUAUUUAUAAGCUACCGAUUAGAGAUGGGUCUGCGUCUGAUUAGCUAGUUGGUGAGGUAACGGCUCACCAAGGCGACGAUCAGUAGCCGGUCUGAGAGGAUGAACGGCCACACUGGGACUGAGACACGGCCCAGACUCCUACGGGAGGCAGCAGUGGGGAAUCUUCCGCAAUGGACGAAAGUCUGACGGAGCAACGCCGCGUGAGUGAAGAAGGUCUUCGGAUUGUAAAGCUCUGUCGUUUGGGACGAACGUGCUUUGUGUGAAUAAUGCAAAGUAAUGACGGUACCAAAGGAGGAAGCCACGGCUAACUACGUGCCAGCAGCCGCGGUAAUACGUAGGUGGCAAGCGUUGUCCGGAAUUAUUGGGCGUAAAGGGCGUGUAGGUGGAUUUUUAAGUCGUGUGUCUAAGAGCGAGGCUCAACCUCGUAUAGGCGCAGGAAACUGGGAAUCUUGAGUGCAGGAGAGGAAAGUGGAAUUCCCAGUGUAGCGGUGAAAUGCGUAGAUAUUGGGAGGAACACCAGUGGCGAAGGCGACUUUCUGGACUGUGUCUGACACUGAGGCGCGAAAGCUAGGGGAGCGAACGGGAUUAGAUACCCCGGUAGUCCUAGCCGUAAACGAUGGGUACUAGGUGUAGAGGGUAUCGACCCCUUCUGUGCCGCAAGCUAACGCAAUAAGUACCCCGCCUGGGGAGUACGGCCGCAAGGUUGAAACUCAAAGGAAUUGACGGGGGCCCGCACAAGCGGUGGAGUAUGUGGUUUAAUUCGACGCAACGCGAAGAACCUUACAGGACUUGACAUUGAGUGAAAAACUAAGAGAUUAGUCCCUAUCCUUCGGGAUACACGAAAACAGGUGGUGCAUGGCUGUCGUCAGCUCGUGUCGUGAGAUGUUGGGUUAAGUCCCGCAACGAGCGCAACCCUUAUCCUUUGUUGCCAGCACGUAAAGGUGGGAACUCAAGGGAGACUGCCGCAGACAAUGCGGAGGAAGGCGGGGAUGACGUCAAGUCAUCAUGCCCCUUAUGUCCUGGGCUACACACGUACUACAAUGGGCUUAAACAAAGCGAAGCAAGCCCGCGAGGGUAAGCCAAACGCAUAAACAAGCUCUCAGUUCGGAUCGGAGGCUGCAACUCGCCUCCGUGAAGUCGGAAUCGCUAGUAAUCGCAGGUCAGCAUACUGCGGUGAAUACGUUCCCGGGCCUUGUACACACCGCCCGUCACACCACGAAAGUUGACAACACCCGAAGCCGGUGGGGUAACCGGCAAUGGAACUAGCCGUCUAAGGUGGGGCCGAUGAUUGGGGUGAAGUCGUAACAAGGUAGCCGUAUCGGAAGGUGUGGCUGGAUCACCUCCUU
rnacentral:rRNA from 1 species